GCCCGGGUGGUGGAAUUGGUAGACACGUGCGCUUGAGGGGCGUAUGGGGAGACCCAUGCCGGUUCGAGUCCGGCUUCGGGCA
rnacentral:tRNA from 2 species